CACACAUCUCUAUGGGGAAAUAUACCACAAACAUUUGGUCAAAGCUUGCCCAGGAUCUUCAGAACACAUAUGGAAUCUCACUUAAGAGCUACGUGGAUCUUGCCUGCCCUCAGCUGGAUUUAUGAAGGGAUCAUUGAAAAGUGGUGAGUCCACACGACGAGAAGAGAAAAAGGAAGAUACAUAAGAAGCCUCUUGAGGUCUCUUCCAGCUCUCAUUUCCCAUGAUGUUUUGUGGACUGGUUUUGGGUAGACGAAAGAAGAAUAAGAUCAAGCAGUAGCAAUGGCAUAAACUGAAAUAGAAAAGAAUGGGCAAUCAAAUGAGAUAGAACAGAGUUAGAGUUUCAGUACCAAGCUGUCAUUUCAAGCUAAACCAAAACAGAUUUAUUAUGCAAAAACAGUUCUUACAAUGGCUACUGGGAAAACAAUUAAUGUUUUAAUAACUGCAGAAUUAAACCAUUAAAAAUAAAGACCCCCCCCCCACUGAGAGAAAAUAUGCA
rnacentral:lncRNA from 1 species